AUGGAGCCGACCUUGAAAUACCACCCUUUAAUGUUUGAUGUUCUAACGUUGACCCGUGAUCCGGGUUGCGGACAGUGUCUGGUGGGUAGUUUGACUGGGGCGGUCUCCUCCUAAAGAGUAACGGAGGAGCACGAAGGUUGGCUAAUCCUGGUCGGACAUCAGGAGGUUAGUGCAAUGGCAUAAGCCAGCUUGACUGCGAGCGUGACGGCGCGAGCAGGUGCGAAAGCAGGUCAUAGUGAUCCGGUGGUUCUGAAUGGAAGGGCCAUCGCUCAACGGAUAAAAGGUACUCCGGGGAUAACAGGCUGAUACCGCCCAAGAGUUCAUAUCGACGGCGGUGUUUGGCACCUCGAUGUCGGCUCAUCACAUCCUGGGGCUGAAGUAGGUCCCAAGGGUAUGGCUGUUCGCCAUUUAAAGUGGUACGCGAGCUGGGUUUAGAACGUCGUGAGACAGUUCGGUCCCUAUCUGCCGUGGGCGCUG
rnacentral:rRNA from 1 species